GGUGCUGAAGCGACAAAUGCCCUGCUUCCAGGAAAAGCCUCUAAGCAUCAGGUAACAUCAAAUCGUACCCCAAACCGACACAGGUGGUCAGGUAGAGAAUACCAAGGCGCUUGAGAGAACUCGGGUGAAGGAACUAGGCAAAAUGGUGCCGUAACUUCGGGAGAAGGCACGCUGAUAUGUAGGUGAAGCGACUUGCUCGUGGAGCUGAAAUCAGUCGAAGAUACCAGCUGGCUGCAACUGUUUAUUAAAAACACAGCACUGUGCAAACACGAAAGUGGACGUAUACGGUGUGACGCCUGCCCGGUGCCGGAAGGUUAAUUGAUGGGGUUAGCGGUAACGCGAAGCUCUUGAUCGAAGCCCCGGUAAACGGCGGCCGUAACUAUAACGGUCCUAAGGUAGCGAAAUUCCUUGUCGGGUAAGUUCCGACCUGCACGAAUGGCGUAAUGAUGGCCAGGCUGUCUCCACCCGAGACUCAGUGAAAUUGAACUCGCUGUGAAGAUGCAGUGUACCCGCGGCAAGACGGAAAGACCCCGUGAACCUUUACUAUAGCUUGACACUGAACAUUGAGCCUUGAUGUGUAGGAUAGGUGGGAGGCUUUGAAGUGUGGACGCCAGUCUGCAUGGAGCCGACCUUGAAAUACCACCCUUUAAUGUUUGAUGUUCUAACGUGGGCCCCUUACCGGGGUUGCGGACAGUGUCUGGUGGGUAGUUUGACUGGGGCGGUCUCCUCCUAAAGAGUAACGGAGGAGCACGAAGGUUGGCUAAUCCUGGUCGGACAUCAGGAGGUUAGUGCAAUGGCAUAAGCCAGCUUGACUGCGAGCGUGACGGCGCGAGCAGGUGCGAAAGCAGGUCAUAGUGAUCCGGUGGUUCUGAAUGGAAGGGCCAUCGCUCAACGGAUAAAAGGUACUCCGGGGAUAACAGGCUGAUACCGCCCAAGAGUUCAUAUCGACGGCGGUGUUUGGCACCUCGAUGUCGGCUCAUCACAUCCUGGGGCUGAAGUAGGUCCCAAGGGUAUGGCUGUUCGCCAUUUAAAGUGGUACGCGAGCUGGGUUUAGAACGUCGUGAGACAGUUCGGUCCCUAUCUGCCGUGGGCGCUGGAGAACUGAGGGGGGCUGCUCCUAGUACGAGAGGACCGGAGUGGACGCAUCACUGGUGUUCGGGUUGUCAUGCCAAUGGCACUGCCCGGUAGCUAAAUGCGGAAGAGAUAAGUGCUGAAAGCAUCUAAGCACGAAACUUGCCCCGAGAUGAGUUCUCCCUGACUCCUUGAGAGUCCUGAAGGAACGUUGAAGACGACGACGUUGAUAGGCCGGGUGUGUAAGCGCAGCGAUGCGUUGAGCUAACCGGUACUAAUGAACCGUGAGGCUUAACCUU
rnacentral:rRNA from 1 species